AGAGCGAACGCUGGCGGCAGGCCUAACACGUGCAAGUCGAGCGCCCGUAGCAAUACGGGAGCGGCAGACGGGAUAGUAACACGUGGGAACGCGCCCUUCGGUUCGGAAUAACUCAGGGAAACUUGAGCUAAUACCGGAUACGCCCUUACGGGGAAAGAUUUAUUGCCGAAGGAACGGCCCGCGUCCGAUUAGCUAGUUGGUGAGGUAAUGGCUCACCAAGGCGACGAUCGGUAGCUGGUCUGAGAGGAUGACCAGCAUCACUGGGACUGAGACACGGCCCAGACUCCUACGGGAGGCAGCAGUGGGGAAUAUGGACAAUGGGCGCAAGCCUGAUCCAGCCAUGCCGCGUGGAUGAUGAAGGCCUUAGGGUUGUAAAGUCCUUUUAACGGGGAAGAUAAUGACGGUACCCGUAGAAUAAGCCCCGGCUAACUUCGUGCCAGCAGCCGC
rnacentral:rRNA from 1 species